GAUGGACGCUGGCGGCGUGCCUAAUACAUGCAAGUCGAGCGAACGGACGAGAAGCUUGCUUCUCUGAUGUUAGCGGCGGACGGGUGAGUAACACGUGGAUAACCUACCUAUAAGACUGGGAUAACUUCGGGAAACCGGAUCUAAUACCGGAUGAUAUUUUGAACCGCAUGGUUCAAAAGUGAAAGACGGUCUUGCUGUCACUUAUAGAUGGAUCCGCGCUGCAUUAGCUAGUUGGUAAGGUAACGGCUUACCAAGGCAACGAUGCAUAGCCGACCUGAGAGGGUGAUCGGCCACACUGGAACUGAGACACGGUCCAGACUCCUACGGGAGGCAGCAGUAGGGAAUCUUCCGCAAUGGGCGAAAGCCUGACGGAGCAACGCCGCGUGAGUGAUGAAGGUCUUCGGAUCGUAAAACUCUGUUAUUAGGGAAGAACAUAUGUGUAAGUAACUGUGCACAUCUUGACGGUACCUAAUCAGAAAGCCACGGCUAACUACGUG
rnacentral:rRNA from 1 species